GCAAGUCGAACGAGAACGGAUUAAAGCUUGCUUUAAUUGUCAGCUAAGUGGCGCACGGGUGAGUAAUAUAUAGGUAACGUGCCAUCAAGAAGGGGAUAAUAAUUAGCAACGAUUGCUAAUACCCUAUAUGCCUUAAGACAUAAGUCUGCAAGGGAAAUCUUUAUAGCUUAAAGAUCGGCCUGUGCAGUAUCAGUUAGUUGGUGAGGUAAUGGCUCACCAAGACGAUGACGCUUAGCUGGUUUGAGAGGAUGAUC
rnacentral:rRNA from 1 species